UGAAAACAUGUUGAUAUAACAGGUUUAAACUAAAUUGGAGAUGAGCAAUUUGGAGUCUGAACCCCCAAAUACAUGGAAUUAGUGCAAUGAUUAUUGUAACGAUCUUAAUUUGGAACUAUGAAUUUAUUUCAAAAUUUUAUUUUUUUGGAACAUGUAAUUUAUUAUUAUUUUGGACAUGUACUUUCAUUUUAUAUUUGUGAUAAGUAGUUCAAGUCAAACCAGGGGUAAGAAAGGCAAUCUACCCUCAAACUCCUCUUUUUUGGAGCUAGGGACACCCUCCUAGCCAAACACCCUCACCAGACAGCUCCA
rnacentral:lncRNA from 1 species